rnacentral:rRNA from 1 species
GAUGAACGCUAGCUACAGGCUUAACACAUGCAAGUCGAGGGGUAACGAGAGGAAAGCUUGCUUUCCUUGUCGACGACCGGCGCACGGGUGAGUAACGCGUAUCCAACCUGCCCCCAACUAAGGAAUAACCUUGCGAAAGUAAGACUAAUACCUUAUAAUUUCCUCAGAUGACAUCUGACGAGGAAUAAAGAUUUAUCGGUUGUGGAUGGGGAUGCGUCUGAUUAGCUUGUUGGCGGGGUAACGGCCCACCAAGGCAACGAUCAGUAGGGGUUCUGAGAGGAAGGUCCCCCACAUUUGAACUGAGACACGGUCCAAACUCCUACGGGAGUCAGCAGUGAGGAAUAUUGGUCAAUGGGCGGAAGCCUGGCCCAGCCAUCCCGCGUGCAGGACGAAGGCCUUAUGGGUUGUAAACUGCUUUUCUGCGGGGAGAAGCCCCCGGCCGUGUGCCGGGGUUGACGGUACCGCAGGAAUAAGCAUCGGCUAACCCCGUGCCAGCCGCCGCGGUAAAAC